GACGAACGCUGGCGGCGUGCCUAAUACAUGCAAGUCGAGCGGACCGACGGGAGCUUGCUCCCUUAGGUCAGCGGCGGACGGGUGAGUAACACGUGGGUAACCUGCCUGUAAGACUGGGAUAACUCCGGGAAACCGGGGCUAAUACCGGAUGCUUGAUUGAACCGCAUGGUUCAAUCAUAAAAGGUGGCUUUUAGCUACCACUUACAGAUGGACCCGCGGCGCAUUAGCUAGUUGGUGAGGUAACGGCUCACCAAGGCGACGAUGCGUAGCCGACCUGAGAGGGUGAUCGGCCACACUGGGACUGAGACACGGCCCAGACUCCUACGGGAGGCAGCAGUAGGGAAUCUUCCGCAAUGGACGAAAGUCUGACGGAGCAACGCCGCGUGAGUGAUGAAGGUUUUCGGAUCGUAAAACUCUGUUGUUAGGGAAGAACAAGUACCGUUCGAAUAGGGCGGCACCUUGACGGUACCUAACCAGAAAGCCACGGCUAACUACGUGCCAGCAGCCGCGGUAAUACGUAGGUGGCAAGCGUUGUCCGGAAUUAUUGGGCGUAAAGCGCGCGCAGGCGGCUUCUUAAGUCUGAUGUGAAAGCCCCCGGCUCAACCGGGGAGGGUCAUUGGAAACUGGGGAACUUGAGUGCAGAAGAGGAGAGUGGUAUUCCACGUGUAGCGGUGAAAUGCGUAGAGAUGUGGAGGAACACCAGUGGCGAAGGCGACUCUCUGGUCUGUAACUGACGCUGAGGCGCGAAAGCGUGGGGAGCGAACAGG
rnacentral:rRNA from 1 species